ACAGUCUCCUUGCGUCAGUUGCGUGAGGGGAGGGGCCUCUUGCGCCUGCGCAGCAGGCGUCCUGCUAUGCGCCUGGAGCGCAUGUGCUCAGGGAAUGGCGGAAAACGGGGGUGGAGUCUAACUACAGCACUCAUUGGAUGCCCCAGCGCACCGUGACUCCCUGGCCUGAGCUGGGAAGGUCGCUCUCAGGAUUAAAGGCAGCCAACGGAACACCAGUACCCAGAGCCCUGCAGAACAGCGCCGGUGUUUCAGUGGUCAAGUGUCUACAGUACCUUAAGAAGAGGGUCCAGGGAGAUAUUUGCUGCAUUUCUAAAACAUCUUUGAAAACAAGCUGAGUUUCAGAACCUAAACCAGCAUUUGCUUUUCUUCACUUGGAGGUGCAUGCAGGAAGCUAUUAGGCACACCAAGGACCCCUUCUGUGAAAUGGAGAAUCCUCCCCACCUUCUCCCAUGAGAAUGAAAUGGGGCUUUAGAAUGGAGGACGGGCAGCAGCUGGAUUCUCUGAGUGCAGGGCCUGUGACGCUCCUCCUCGCUGACUUCCUCUCUCUACAAACCCAAAUCCAGAGGGGGAUGGAUUGUGGGACUCUGCAGGAUAGCCUUCACAACCAAGGCCUAACCACUGCAGACUGCCCAGAAAGCCAGAGGGAACGUGGCUUCCUGGCUGGUCCUUUGCUCAAUCCUGAACUGAGAGGAGUUGAGGUGUUUGGGUUCUUAGCUGCAGAUCAGGAAGCUCAGUCUGUUCUUCAUUGGGAAUCCAGAAGUGUCUGGCAAGUCUCUUGGCCACAGUCCUCCCAGGCGCCGAGAGCUCUUUGAAGAGAAGAAAAGGUGCUAGGAGCAAGGAAGCUGCUGCUCUUGAUGAAAAGGUCGGGAGGGAAGAAAAAGGAGACUAACAAGGGCUGAAGAGAACUGUCUGCAGCAGAGAGAAUGCUAAUGGCUCUGCUCCUGAGCUUCAAAGCCUGAGCUGGGUAGUCUCACACACAGGUGCCUCUGCUGUCACCUCCAGAAUACUUACCAAGGACUGAGGCUUGCAAACAAUCCCAGCCUGACUUUCCCAGGGCAAGAAGCAGCACCGGCUGCGACUGAGAAAAGAGAAACCUUUGGGAGGUCCUAGCCCUGGCUCUGCUAGUCGGGGUUUAACUUUUCUGCAUCAGUCAACAAAUGGAAUUCUGGAAGAACUUUGAUGCAAGGGAAAUGCUGUCAUUGAACUAAUCUGGCUAACAGCUGUCUCUUUUCCUUGUUUACAAACUGGUACCUACUGUGGACUGAAUUGUGUCCCCUUCCCAAAUUUGUAUGUUAAAGGCCUUAACCCCCAAUGCGAUGCUAUUUGGAGGUGGGGCCUUUGGGAGGUAAUUAGGUUUACAUGAAGUUAUGAGGGUGGGGCUGUCAUGAUGGAAUUAGUGUUCUUAUAAGAAGAGAUACGAGAGGGCUUGCUAUCUACUCUCCUACCUCGCCCACCACAUGUGAGCACACAGCAAGAAGGCAGCUUGCUGUGAGCUAGGAAGAAAGCCUGUGUAAGAACUCAGCCACACUGGUACCCUGACCUCAGACUGCCAGCCUCCAGCACUGUGAGAAGCCACCCAGUCUAUGGAAUUUUGUUAUGGCCACCAGAGCUGAGGAAUACAGUAGCUCUAGUGGGUGCUGUUGGCUCCUGGCCCAAAUCUCCUUUACUUCAUCGGUGUAUCCAUUUUCCCAGCUGCUGUGUUGGGUUCCAGUGACCCACAGAC